rnacentral:lncRNA from 1 species
AUAUAAAAUAAAGUGCUUUAAUUUAGUACAUUUCUGUUCGCUGUUUAAUUUGCAGAUCGACGCAUCCCACAAAAUUUUGCUUCUGUUCACAAACUGCAUCGAAUGAAGAAAACGAAUAUGAAUCCCCUGAAUCAUGAUUCAAAUUAUGUUUGGGAGCCAAGGAUGCAACCAGGCCUUGAAGGCAGGUGAGGCAGAGCCAGAGCCGAGCUGCAGCCUCCUGUGGUGAAAAGAAGCAAGGGUCAGAAGUCCAAUAGCUGAGCAUACUGGACUUUUCCAAGAAAGUAAAUAUCACCUUCAGAAACGGCCCAUCAACUCUGAUGACAGGUUUUUUA